GGUGGUAAAUUGUCUGUUGCUGCCAAGGCUGAUUUUGGCGAACCAUUGCAUUAAGAAUAACUAAGAUUUUCCGCACACAAGCAGUCACAGCCAGUUUUUUUGAUUUACCGCCUCCGACUAGGCGUUCGUAAAAGGCUUUAAUCACCGGAUUAUGACCCAUAGCUACCACCGCCCCCAUGUAAAGAGUCGCCCGAAUCUGAGCGCGACCUCCCUGAAUCAUCCGCUUACCUUUAUGUUGACCACUAUCAGGAUUAAUCGGCGCAACACCGACUAAGCGAGAGAUUUGUUUGGCGGUUAAUUGACCG
rnacentral:rRNA from 1 species